rnacentral:piRNA from 1 species
UAACAGCAGUGGAAGUAGUCAGAAUCACCA